rnacentral:rRNA from 1 species
GACGAACGCUGGCGGCGUGCUUAACACAUGCAAGUCGAACGGAAAGGCCCUGCUUUUGUUGGGUGCUCGAGUGGCGAACGGGUGAGUAACACGUGAGUAACCUGCCCUUGACUUUGGGAUAACUUCAGGAAACUGGGGCUAAUACCGGAUAGGAGCUCCUGCUGCAUGGUGGGGGUUGGAAAGUUUCGGCGGUUGGGGAUGGACUCGCGGCUUAUCAGCUUGUUGGUGGGGUAGUGGCUUACCAAGGCUUUGACGGGUAGCCGGCCUGGGAGGGUGACCGGCCACAUUGGGACUGAGGUACGGCCCAGACUCCUACGGGAGGCAGCAGUGGGGAAUAUUGCACAAUGGGCGGAAGCCUGAUGCAGCAACGCCGCGUGCGGGAUGACGGCCUUCGGGUUGUAAACCGCUUUCGCCUGUGACGAAGCGUGAGUGACGGUAAUGGGUAAAGAAGCACCGGCUAACUACGUG